CCGGCGACCGGCGCACGGGUGAGUAACACGUAUGGAACCUGCCCGCAGCAGGGGGAUAAGCGGAAGAAAUUCCGUCUAAUACCGCGUAACAACGUUGGGAGGCAUCUCCCGAUGUUUAAAGAUUUAUCGGCUGCGGAUGGCCAUGCGGCGCAUUAGCUAGACGGCGGGGUGACGGCCCACCGUGGCGACGAUGCGUAGGGGUUCUGAGAGGAAGGCCCCCCACACUGGGACUGAGACACGGCCCAGACUCCUACGGGAGGCAGCAG
rnacentral:rRNA from 1 species